GUGACUGCUGCCUCACUUCAACUGGGGCGAGAACUCAUUCAACUCGACGAUCGGCUUGCCUACCGCGCAGACUACGGGGACUGUCCUUAAAAAGGGCCAGUGUGGUAACAACACCAGCAACAGCAGGACCUAAGAAAGAGCUCAAGUUGUGAAGCCAACCAACCAACCAACCAAGCAAGCAGGACCCAGGGAAAGACCACAUUCACCAAUGGCUUGUGACUUGUGUCUGAGGGUGCUUGUACUCUUGCUGCUAGCUUUUGGCCACCUUGAAAAGGGAGGUAGUACUCAGCAUGGAGGUUUUGCUUCCCCUAGAAGCCAGCCAAAUAGUUGGUAUGCACAGCCAUACAGUCAACUUGCGCCCGAUAUGUUCUAUUGGGCUCAACCCCUAAGCCAGCAGCACGGUGCAAGUAUGGCCGAGGAUGAUGCGAAUCUUGGUUCUGGUGAACAGUCGGUCCCCCCAAUUUGCCCCAUCUGUCCUCGCUGCCCCGAGCCACUCCCUUGCCCGUUACCUGGCCCUUGUCCUCAUCCUUACUGUAAACCUGGCUAUAGUCCUUGCCCUUGCUCGCCAUCUUGCUGUAAGAACAGUCGCAGGUGUCGCACCUGGCAUCAUUGGUAGGCUCCUCCAUGUCUGAGCAGGUUAUCGUCCAGUGAUGGUGUGCGCACUUCUUUUUGCAGUAACUAUUAAAUCUGUGAAAUGGAA